rnacentral:rRNA from 1 species
CACGUAGGGCGCAAGCGUUGUCCGGAAUUAUUGGGCGUAAAGAGCUCGUAGGCGGUCUGUUGCGUCUGCUGUGAAAACCCGGGGCUUAACCCCUGGCUUGCAGUGGAUACGGACAGACUAGAGGUAGGUAGGGGAGAAUGGAAUUCCCGGUGUAGCGGUGAAAUGCGCAGAUAUCGGGAAGAACACCCGUGGCGAAGGCGGCUCUCUGGGACGGUACUGACGCUGAGACGCGAAAGCGUGGGGAGCGAACAGG